UACAGGGGGGGCAAGCGUUGUUCGGAAUUACUGGGCGUAAAGGGCCCGUAGGCGGCCGAUUAAGUCUGACGUGAAAUCCCCAGGCUUAACCUGGGAACUGCGUCGGAUACUGAUUGGCUUGAAUUCGGGAGAGGGAUGCAGAAUUCCAGGUGUAGCGGUGAAAUGCGUAGAUAUCUGGAGGAAUACCGGUGGCGAAGGCGGCAUCCUGGACCGACAUUGACGCUGAACGGCGAAAGCUAGGGGAGCAAACGGG
rnacentral:rRNA from 1 species